rfam:Dipodomys ordii contig_9737, whole genome shotgun sequence.
GGGAAGGUAGCUCAGUGGUAGAGCGCUUGCCUUGCACGCCUGAGGCCCUGGGUUCGAUUCCUCAGCACCA